rnacentral:rRNA from 1 species
UACGUAGGUGGCGAGCGUUGUCCGGAAUUACUGGGUGUAAAGGGCGUGUAGGCGGGAAAACAAGUCAGAUGUGAAAUACCGAGGCUUAACCUCGGGGCUGCAUCUGAAACUGUAUUUCUUGAGUGUCGGAGAGGAAAGUGGAAUUCCCAGUGUAGCGGUGAAAUGCGUAGAUAUUGGGAGGAACACCAGUGGCGAAGGCGACUUUCUGGACGAUAACUGACGCUGAGGCGCGAAAGCGUGGGGAGCAAACAGG